AGCGUGGGAGGGGCCGGUGUGAGGCAAGGGGCUCACGCUGACCUCUGUCCGCGUGGGAGGGGCCGGUGUGAGACAAGGGGCUCACACCUCUCUCAGCGUGGGAGGGGCCGGUGUGAGGCAAGGAGCUCGGGCUGACCUCUGUCCGCGUGGGAGGGGCCGGUGUGAGGCAAGGGGCUUGGGCUGACCUCUCUCAGCGUGGGAGGGGCCGGUGUGAGACAAGGGGCACGCUGACCUCUCUCAGCAUGGGAGGGGCCGGUGUGAGACAAGGGGCUCGGGCUGACCUCUGUCCGCGUGGGAGGGGCCGGUGUGAGGCAAGGGGCUCACGCUGACCUCUGUCCGCGUGGGAGGGGCCGGUGUGAGGCAAGGGCUCACACUGACCUCUCUCAGCGUGGGAGGGGCCGGUGUGAGACAAGGGGCUCACGCUGACCUCUGUCCACGUGGGAGGGGCCGGGGUGAGGCAAGGGCUCACACUGACCUCUCUCAGCGUGGGAGGGGCCGGUGUGAGGCAAGGGGCUCACGCUGACCUCUGUCCGCGUGGGAGGGGCCGGUGUGAGGCAAGGGCUCACACUGACCUCUCUCAGCGUGGGAGGGGCCGGUGUGAGGCAAGGGGCUCACGCUGACCUCUCUCAAG
rnacentral:lncRNA from 1 species